rnacentral:miRNA from 1 species
AGGUUGGUGCGAAAGUAAUUGUGGUUUUUGCCAUUGAAAGUAAUAGAAAAAACCACAAUUACUUUCACACCAACCUAAUA